rnacentral:precursor_RNA from 9 species
CAGACGAUAGUUUAUUUCACCCUACCAGGGAUGAUUGUGCGUCUAGUCCAUGUAGCUGUGACAUCAUGACUAGAUCCACACUCAUCCCUGUUGGGGAACGCCAAGAGCAGACGACAA